rnacentral:rRNA from 1 species
AAUCAACGCUGGCGGCGUGCCUCAGACAUGCAAGUCGAACGAUUAAAGCUCUCUUCGGAGAGUGUAUAGAGUGGCGCACGGGUGAGUAACACGUAAGUAAUCUACCUUUGAGUGGGGAAUAACCCGGGGAAACCCGAGCUAAUACCGCAUAAUGCAGCGGCACCGCAAGGUGACAGUUGUUAAAGGAGCAAUCCGCUUAAAGAGGAGCUUGCGGCAGAUUAGCUAGNGGUAAGGUAAUGGCUUACCAAGGCUACGAUCUGUAUCCGGUCCUAAGAGGACGGUCGGACACACUGACACUGAAUAACGGGUCAGACUCCUACGGGA